rnacentral:rRNA from 1 species
UACGUAGGCAGCGAGCGUUGUUCGGAGUUACUGGGCGUAAAGAGUGCGUAGGCGGUUUUCCAAGUUUGGUGUGAAAUCUCCCGGCUUAACCGGGAGGGUGCGCCGAAAACUGGAAGCUAGAGUGUGGGAGAGGUAAGCGGAAUUCUGGUGUAGCGGUGAAAUGCGUAGAUAUCAGGAGGAACACCGGCGGUGUAGACAGCUUACUGGACCAUAACUGACGCUGAGGCACGAAAGCGUGGGUAGCAAACAGG